GCAUGUGGUUUAAUUCGAAGCAACGCGAAGAACCUUACCAGGUCUUGACAUCCCUGACAACCCUAGAGAUAGGGCUUCCCCUUCGGGCAGGACAGGUGGUGCAUGGUUGUCGUCAGCUCGUGUCGUGAGAUGUUGGGUUAAGUCCCGCAACGAGCGCAACCCUUGAUCUUAGUUGCCAGCAUUCAGUUGGGCACUCUAAGGUGACUGCCGGUGACAAACCGGAGGAAGGUGGGGAUGACGUCAAAUCAUCAUGCCCCUUAUGACCUGGGCUACACACGUGCUACAAUGGGCAGAACAAAGGGCAAAUCCCACAAAUCUGUUCUCAGUUCGGAUCGCAGUCUGCAACUCGACUGCGUGAAGCUGGAAUCGCUAGUAAUCGCGGAUCAGCAUGCCGCGGUGAAUACGUUCCCGGGCCUUGUACACACCGCCCGUCACACCACGAGAGUUUG
rnacentral:rRNA from 1 species